GAAUUGAGGGAGACAGAUAUGGGGAAUUCUUCUCUCUUUUCGUCUCUAGGGAAGUGGAAACCUUCUUGAGCUCCCUGAAUCAAUUAUUUUCCAACAUUUUCUUUCAUUUUUUGUAAUCUAAACAUUGUAACUAUCUUUUAUGUGUAUUCCUUCCAGAUUGAAAAGAAUUCGAGGAAAGUAGUUACUAAAACACAUAGAUGGCGAUCAAAUGCCUCCGGUCGAGACUUCUAUUCUGAUUCCUGGAUCAUUGAGAGAUGGAAGAACUCGGCGCAAUCCGACACCAUCUUGGACGUUCUCCGCUUUUUGAAACCGUGGUGACGAAUCCAAUGUCAAACCCAUGGCUGGAAAGGUGUAAUUAUCUUCCUUUCUCUAUCUCUCAUU